GAUGAAGAACGCAGCGAAAUGCGAUACGUAAUGUGAAUUGCAGAAUUCAGUGAAUCAUCGAAUCUUUGAACGCAUAUUGCGCUCUCUGGUAUUCCGGAGAGCAUGCUUGUUUGAGUAUCAGUAAACACCUCAACUUCCAUAUCUUUUUUGAAAUGGGAGUUGGACUUGAGUGAUCCCAACGCUUUUCCUCACCGAAAAGUGGCGGGUUACUUGAAAUGCAGGUGCAGCUGGACUUUUCUCUGAGCUAUAAGCAUAUCUAUUUAGUCUGCCUAAAAAACAGAUUAUUACCUUUGCUGCAGCUAACAUAAAGGAGAUUAGUUCUUGUGUUGACUGAUGCAGGAUUCACAAAGACAGGCUUCGGCCGACUUUGUAAACUCGAUCUCAAAUCAAGUAAGACUACCCGCUGAACUUAAGCAUAUCAUAAGCGGAGGA
rnacentral:misc_RNA from 1 species